UACGUAGGGCGCAAGCGUUUGUCCGGAAUUAUUGGGCGUAAAGAGCUCGUAGGCGGUUUGUCGCGUCUGCUGUGAAAACUCGAGGCUCAACCUCGGGCUUGCAGUGGGUACGGGCAGACUAGAGUGCGGUAGGGGUGACUGGAAUUCCUGGUGUAGCGGUGAAAUGCGCAGAUAUCAGGAGGAACACCGGUGGCGAAGGCGGAUCUCUGGGCCUUACCUGACGCUCGAGGCACGAAAAGCUAGGGGAGCGAACAGG
rnacentral:rRNA from 1 species